rnacentral:lncRNA from 1 species
GACCUAUUUGCAUAUAUGGAGACUUUACUUUCAUGAAAAUACAAAAUCCCUUUGGUAGUUUUAAAAUUUUAAGAUGAGGUCCUCUAAGUAAAAUCCUGAUUUUAAAAAAUUACUCAUGUUUUCAUUUUUAUUUUCUUUAAUCCAAAAUCGUUAAAAUACUGAUCGCCGUUGACGUGGCGGUUAAUUUGAUGACAUGUAUUUUGAAGUUUUGGAUUUUUUGACCCAUAAACUUCCAUGUCAUUUUGGGACUAAAAAUUAAACAUAAAAUAAUAAUAAUAAUAACCCAUGGCAGCUUCACCAGUUCUUUCUGCUUCUCCCACCGGUGGCACCAUCGAACCCUUUCUUCCAUGGCAGCUUCACUGAUUCUUUUUGGACUCUUGCGUUUCCAUUUCCGACCAAGUUUCCUUAAUUGAUUUCAGCUCUCAUCGAACCCUUUCCUUCCAUGGCAGCUUCACCCGUACUUUCUGGUUCAGUCGCUCUUCCAUUGUCGGCCAACUUUUCUUUGUUUUUCCGUCGACAGAGUCCACCACUGUUACUCAAUUGAGGUUGGGGGUUACCUCCACUGAUUCUUUGGUCGAUGUAUGUUGAGAUUGAUUACAAGAAACGACACAGCAGCAACUCCGGUGGCAGCUAUCGUUACUCCAAUGAUGGUUGCACCAUUGCUUCUAGGAGGCUGACCAGUAGCAACACCAUUGAAGCACCAGCAACCACACUGCCAACAGGGCCUUCA